rnacentral:rRNA from 1 species
UACGUAGGGUGCAAGCGUUGUCCGGAAUUAUUGGGCGUAAAGAGCUCGUAGGCGGUCUGUCGCGUCUGCUGUGAAAACUCAGGGCUUAACCCUGAGCUUGCAGUGGGUACGGGCAGACUAGAGUGCGGUAGGGGAGACUGGAAUUCCUGGUGUAGCGGUGAAAUGCGCAGAUAUCAGGAGGAACACCGGUGGCGAAGGCGCCACUCUGGGCCGAAACUGACGCUGAGGAGCGAAAGCGUGGGUAGCAAACAGG